rnacentral:rRNA from 1 species
AGUGAACGCUGGCGGUAGGCCUAACACAUGCAAGUCGAACGGCAGCACAGUAAGAGCUUGCUCUUACGGGUGGCGAGUGGCGGACGGGUGAGGAAUACAUCGGAAUCUACUUUUUCGUGGGGGAUAACGUAGGGAAACUUACGCUAAUACCGCAUACGACCUACGGGUGAAAGCAGGGGAUCUUCGGACCUUGCGCGAUUGAAUGAGCCGAUGUCGGAUUAGCUAGUUGGCGGGGUAAAGGCCCACCAAGGCGACGAUCCGUAGCUGGUCUGAGAGGAUGAUCAGCCACACUGGAACUGAGACGCGGUCCAGACUCCUACGGGAGGCAGCAGCGGGGAAUAUUGGACAAUGGGCGCAAGCCUGAUCCAGCCAUACCGCGUGGGUGAAGAAGGCCUUCGGGUUGUAAAGCCCUUUUGUUGGGAAAGAAAAGCAGCAGGUUAAUACCCCGCUGUUCUGACGGUACCCAAAGAAUAAGCACCGGCUAACUUCGUG